rnacentral:rRNA from 1 species
GACGAAGGAUGCAAGCGUUAUCCGGAUUCAUUGGGUUUAAAGGGAGCGUAGGUGGCCCGGUAAGUCAGUGGUGAAAUCUCGCAGCUUAACUGCGAAACUGCCAUUGAUACUGCUGGGCUUGAGUACAGAUGCCGUUGGCGGAAUAUGACAUGUAGUGGUGAAAUACAUAGAGAUGUCAUAGAACACCGAUUGCGAAGGCAGCUAACGAAACUGUAACUGACACUGAGGCUCGAAAGUGAGGGGAGCAAACAGG